CGGAGAGGGCGCAUGAGAAACGGCUCCUUUAACCAAGGAAGGGAGGAGGGGCGCAAAUUACCCAAUCCCUUUUCGGGGAGGUAGUGACAAUAUGUAACAAUAUACGGCCUUAUACGUCGUAUAAUUGGAAUGAGUACAAUUUAAAUCCCUUAACGAGGAACAAUUGGAGGGCAAGUCUGGUGCCAGCAGCCGCGGUAAUUCCAGCUCCAAUAGCGUAUAUUAAAGUUGUUGCAGUUAAAAAGCUCGUAGUUGGACCUUGGACCUGGACAGGCGGUCCGCCUCACGGCGAGUACUGUCUUGCUGGGUCUUUCCUCUUGGUGAUCUGUUGUUUCGGCAGCAGGGAACCAGGACCUUUACUUUGAAAAAAUUAGAGUGUUCAAAGCAGGCUCGACGCCGGAAUAUAUUAGCAUGGAAUAAUAAAAUAGGACGUGCGGUUCUAUUUUGUUGGUUUUUGGAAUCGCCGUAAUGAUUAAUAGGGACAGUCGGGGGCAUUAGUACUCACAUGCUAGAGGUGAAAUUCUUGGAUUUUGUGAAGACUAACUUCUGCGAAAGCAUUUGCCAAGGAUGUUUUCAUUAAUCAAGAACGAAGGUUAGGGUAUCGAAAACGAUUAGAUACCGUUGUAGUCUUAACAGUAAACUAUGCCGACUAGGGAUCGGUCGAUGUUAUCUUUUUGACUCGAUCGGCACCUUACGAGAAAUCAAAGUUUUUGGGUUCUGGGGGGAGUAUGGUCGCAAGGCUGAAACUU
rnacentral:rRNA from 1 species